GGUUAACUGCAGGAGACAAGCGAUGGGACUAACUCGAUCGAUGAAUGUCCUUAUGAUCUGUGCAGCGUUCGCAUUUAUUGGUGCAAUGGUCGUAGGACUGAUACCUUGAAUUGAAAUAUGAGCGCUACGGAGAUGGUCUCUGACCGUUAAGCGAUGAAACAAAAUGAAACGGCCCGGUUAAAGCAACCGGGCCGUU
rnacentral:sRNA from 1 species